rnacentral:lncRNA from 1 species
GUGGGUUCUCAUCUAGGAAAAGUGGGGAAAUUGAAACCGCCAAAAAUAACAUAAGGGGCACCGUUAUAAGUUAAAACCGUUAGAGUUUGUGAUCAUGAAAAAAAAAAAAAAAAGUGAGCUAGAAACUAAAUGAAAGUAGCCAUUCCUAUGUAGUCUGGAUUGGGGAUAGUGACUCUACAGCCGGAUUACCGCUAGGGUGUGUGAAAUCGACUGUGCAAAGCAAGAAAAGAAAAGAAAAAUAAUAAAAAGUACCGAAACUAAGUAGUCUGUGGUUGGGGAUAGCGACUCUACAGCCGGAUUGCCUCUUGGUUUGGGAAAGCACCGUCUAGACUCACGAGAGAAAAAAAAAAGAGAAAGAGGAAAAAAUUGUUUGAUUGUAAACUCUCUUGGUUUUGAUAUAAAACGGUUGGGAAUUGGUCCAUGAUCGUUCUCUUUGUCCUAUAAGUUUGAGGUGGGAUUAGAUGGGUAUGCGAUUUCUAGUGUGAGACCCUAGGUGGAUUGACCCAUAUUUGAACCUAAAUUGCAUGAUAAGGGCUCGGAACCGGGUUUGGGUUUAAGAGGAUCGAAAUACUUGCAAUCGCAACUAACACAUGUUUCGAUUUUAAUAAAUGAACACAAGCUUUUAGCCCGAACGACUAUCUUGACUAUGAUUCCGUUUUGCAUAAUUCUUUUUCGGGGGCGAAAAAAGAUCCUGGUGCAAAUGGAGCAAAAACGAGUAAUAUAGAAAUGACCAGCCAGUUGGACAGAAUAGAAUGCCAAUGCCCGAAUUAAAAUUGCCCCUAUUUUUCUGUGAGUGGGCCGAACCCACUAUCUCUAUUUUAUAAAUUAGAGACUACCACAUAUAUUAUUGUUGUUUUGGGCUUCACAACACCUAACGGGUUUCAAGCCUUUAUGGAAAAAAAUAAGGAAAGCUGAAUAAUAUUAUGAUUGCCAUAAAUAAUAUGACUUCAAAAAAAAGCAAAUAUAGACGUGAGAAGGGAGGCGGCUAUUUUGCUUGUUGGGCCGAAGCCCAUUUAUUUGGGGGAGCAUACGGCUAAGAAGGCAGACAAUACUCAUCCAUUAUAUUUAACGAUACAUCAUUCGCUGAAGAAUAAUCAACAUCAGACGUGAAUAUCAGGCGGACGGCAGAGUCAGACACGAAGGCGCAGACAUCAGAACAGGGACGAAGUUUAAAGACAAGAAGAAGAUUGGCGAGGGUUCAAGCCGCGAUCAAGAUUUAAGUCCGGGUUUGCAAUUUAUUAGUAUUCAGUUUUAAAGACUUUGUGUUCUUUCUAACUUGACACUAUGAUUUGUUAUUUAUUUGAGACUUGUUUCUUGUUUUUG